GCCACGCCCCCUUCUUAAUCUCUAAACGCGACGCGCCCUGAGUUUAUGCUGUUAGUACAAAGAAACAACUGUUCAUUUGGAUGCAGAUAUCUAUUUUACGGCCUUGGGUGAAUUAUUUUGCCUCUGCUGUACCUCUAGCCAUUGGACAAGGCUAGUGGUAAGAGCAGCUGACUGUCUCUUUACAGCUCACACUCUCAGUCACAGCGGAGGACAUGGACCUAACCAGAACAGGUGACCAUAUUGCAGCUAAUGGCAGGGUCUGACUCUCUAUGUAGUGUUGAGAUGGGCUUCUACAAUGGUGUCUUCCUGGAGAAAGACGAUGACGUCAUCCUUCGUCAAACAUGUCCAUCCAAAGACCAAUCAUGUAAUUAUUCUUACAGUUUCAAUAGCUUUAAUGUCACUCAGUUUAGAACUUUUUUCUUUCAUUCCUCUCACCUGGUUGUCUAGGGCUACAUUGAAAGGAAAAACCAGCAGACACUACGCCCUCCAUGGAAUGAGUUUGACACCCCUAAUAUAGACUAACCUACCCGCAGAGCCUACUGCACUAUAGGCCUAUCUGCGAACUGUUGGCUAGAGCGCACGUGCCAAGACCAGAGGAGGCACAUUUGCUCUUUAAUGCAACAGUUUGUGAAAGAGUUGAAAAUGCAAUAGAAACACAUUGAACAUUAGAUUUUUAUUCGGGACAUGAAAACUCAAGCGACGUCAUCACACACUGAUUUUUAUCUGCAACAAGUCGGUUUGGUGGAAACAACCCACUGGUGGGAAAAUGCACAUAAUUUCUUUAUGCAGAUUUUUAGAAUAUUCACAUGGAAAUCUGUCAGCAAUUGGAUGGAAACCUAGCUACUGCUAAACGAUAUGAGUGGUGUAGGUAAGUGAUGAAGUGAAAACCUAUAGGAGGAUAGCUCUCUACGAGGUGGGAUGAGCAUGAAAUGACAGCAGGCUGUUCAACACUGAGCCAUGCUGACUGACAGAUGGCGUGGAUUGGUACAUGGCAAUUCAGUCCCACAUCAUGUGUUAUCACUUAUUUGGCUAAAUGAUUAUCCAUAGUUGCCUCUUUUGAUCCAGCCACAGCAGUCUGUAAAUGGACUGUUACCUUGGAGACAACAUUAAGAUGCUAAAACUUUUACACUCCAAUUGAACUCUGCCGGUGACAUUUUCUCACAUCUUAUUUCUCUCUCUCUCUCUCUCUCUCUCUCUCUCUCUCUCACGCCAGCAAGCCGUUCACCAACUAAUUUUAUGCCUUACACAACUCAGCACAUAUAGUAUGUAUUGCUCCACCUUUCUCAAACUCCAGUUCCAUACAUUUGUUUACCUUUUUUACCUGUGUCUAUGGAUUGUACAGGGAUUUUAAGUUGGGACUGUAACUACAUACUAAAUCUAAUUCCAUCUCCUGUAUAGUUCUGCCCUCUCUAUAGAUUAUGCUGAUGCCCCACCGUAAGAACCUGGAGCUCUUUACUGGUUCUGUGGGAGGUGACGUGGCCACAAAUCAGUGCCUGGGACACCUUACAACGCUGCCACUGUCUGAACAACAGCCAAAGGGUGGUCAAGACAUCUACUGCAACUUCAUCUUUAGUGUGUCAGCUCUGCUGCAGCUGGGAGAUAAAGAUGGCUCUGGCUUGCUGAUGACAUCUGAUCUGACUCCUUGCAAAUUGACUCCUGUAUUACUGACUAUAUUAAAUAAAACUUCCAAUGCCAAAUUGAAAUAUUUUUUUGAUUCUGUAAUUGAUAGACAAUGGUACUUUCCAAUCAGACAAUUACAAAAAUAAAGAAAUAAUGAAUCUGUU